CGCGGUAAUUUGACCGUGCGAAGGUAGCAUAAUCAAUAGUCUUUUAAUUGAAGGCUGGAAUGAAUGGUUGGACAAGAAGUAUUCUGUCUCGUUUAUAAGGAUUGAAUUUAACUUUUAAGUGAAAAGGCUUAGUUGAUUUAAGGGGACGAUAACACCCUAUAAAACUUUAUAUUAAAAUGUUAGUUUUUGAAUUUAAGUUUAAAGUAUAUUAGUAUUAGGAAUAUUGUGUUGGGG
rnacentral:rRNA from 1 species